GACGAACGCUGGCGGCGUGCUUAACACAUGCAAGUCGAACGGAAAGGCCCUGCUUUUGUGGUGUGCUCGAGUGGCGAACGGGUGAGUAACACGUGAGUAACCUGCCCUUGACUUUGGGAUAACUUCAGGAAACUGGGGCUAAUACCGGAUAGGAGCCCCUGCUGCAUGGUGGGGGUUGGAAAGUUUCGGCGGUUGGGGAUGGACUCGCGGCUUAUCAGCUUGUUGGUGGGGUAGUGGCUUACCAAGGCUUUGACGGGUAGCCGGCCUGAGAGGGUGACCGGCCACAUUGGGACUGAGAUACGGCCCAGACUCCUACGGGAGGCAGCAGUGGGGAAUAUUGCACAAUGGGCGGAAGCCUGAUGCAGCAACGCCGCGUGCGGGAUGACGGCCUUCGGGUUGUAAACCGCUUUCGCCUGUGACGAAGCGUGAGUGACGGUAAUGGGUAAAGAAGCACCGGCUAACUACGUG
rnacentral:rRNA from 1 species